GCACGCGUAUUAUAUCAUGUUGUGGGAGACAUGCUUUAUAAUCCUGUAGCAGGGCAUUCUAUCAAACAGACAGACCACGGACGCUCUUGAUAAUAAUUCGAGAGAAAGCCUCCAUACAGUCCUUUCACAGCAGCCAAGCGAAUGUCGGUACAAGAAAAAUGAAGCUGGCGUUUGUGUUCGUGGUGGUGUUGGCGCUUGCUCGCUCCUCGUCGGCUCAAUACAGUACUUGGCAGAGCUACUAUUCGGCCCUCUAUAUCAGAAUAGGACAGAUUAAAGCCAAAAUCAUCUCUCUCACAAGCAACGUUAACGCCUGUUCAUGUGACAUCGCACUAAAAGGUGAAAAGGGAGAUUUAGGUGACACGGGGCCGACUGGUCCCAACGGACCUGCAGG